rnacentral:rRNA from 1 species
UACGAAGGGGGCUAGCGUUGCUCGGAUUGACCGGGCGUAAAGGGCGCGCAGGCGGCUCAUGAAGUCUGUGGUGAAAGUCCGGGGCUCAACCUCGGAUCGGCCGUGGCGACUCGUGGGCUGGAGCACUGUAGAGGCGGGUGGAAUUCCGGGUGUAGCGGUGGAAUGCGUAGAGAUCCGGAAGAACACCAGUGGCGAAGGCGGCCCGCUGGGCAGUGGCUGACGCUGAAGCGCGACAGCGUGGGGAGCAAACAGG